rnacentral:rRNA from 1 species
GAUUAACGCUGGCGGCGUGCAUAACACAUGCAAGUCGAACGAUGAAGCUUAUUAGACUUCUUCGGAAUGAAAAUAAUUGGAUUAGUGGCGGACGGGUGAGUAACGCGUGAGUAACCUGCCUUACACAAGGGGAUAGCCGUUGGAAACGACGAAUAAUACCCUAUGAAACUAUCACUUCGCAUGAAGCGAUAGUCAAAGUGUUAGCAGUGUAAGAUGGACUUGCGUCUGAUUAGCUAGUUGGUGAGAAAAAAGCCCACCAAGGCAACGAUCAGUAGCCGGCUUGAGAGAGUGUACGGGCACAUUGGGACUGAGACAAGGCCCAGACUCCUACGGAUGGCAGCAGUGGGGAAUUUGGCACAACGGGGGAAACCCUGAUGCAGCGACGCCGCGUGAUUUAGAAGGUCUUCGGGUUGUAAAAAUCUUUUGUAUAGGAAGAAAAUGACAGUACUAUACGAAUAAGGUCCGGCUAAUUACGUG